rnacentral:rRNA from 1 species
GACGAACGCUGGCGGCGUGCCUAAUACAUGCAAGUAGAACGCUGAAGGAGGAGCUUGCUUCUCCGGAUGAGUUGCGAACGGGUGAGUAACGCGUAGGUAACCUGCCUGGUAGCGGGGGAUAACUAUUGGAAACGAUAGCUAAUACCGCAUAAGAGUAGAUGUUGCAUGACAUUUGCUUAAAAGGUGCAAUUGCAUCACUACCAGAUGGACCUGCGUUGUAUUAGCUAGUUGGUGGGGUAACGGCUCACCAAGGCGACGAUACAUAGCCGACCUGAGAGGGUGAUCGGCCACACUGGGACUGAGACACGGCCCAGACUCCUACGGGAGGCAGCAGUAGGGAAUCUUCGGCAAUGGACGGAAGUCUGACCGAGCAACGCCGCGUGAGUGAAGAAGGUUUUCGGAUCGUAAAGCUCUGUUGUAAGAGAAGAACGAGUGUGGGAGUGGAAAGUUCACACUGUGACGGUAUCUUACCAGAAAGGGACGGCUAACUACGUGCCAGCAGCCGCGGUAAUACGUAGGUCCCGAGCGUUGUCCGGAUUUAUUGGGCGUAAAGCGAGCGCAGGCGGUUAGAUAAGUCUGAAGUUAAAGGCUGUGGCUUAACCAUAGUACGCUUUGGAAACUGUUUAACUUGAGUGCAAGAGGGGAGAGUGGAAUUCCAUGUGUAGCGGUGAAAUGCGUAGAUAUAUGGAGGAACACCGGUGGCGAAAGCGGCUCUCUGGCUUGUAACUGACGCUGAGGCUCGAAAGCGUGGGGAGCAAACAGG